rnacentral:rRNA from 1 species
UACAGAGGUCUCAAGCGUUGUUCGGAUUCAUUGGGCGUAAAGGGUGCGUAGGCGGCGCGGUAAGUCGGGGUGUGAAAUCUCGGAGCUUAACUCCGAAACUGCAUUCGAUACUGCCGUGCUUGAGGACUGGAGAGGAGACUGGAAUUUACGGUGUAGCGGUGAAAUGCGUAGAUAUCGUAAGGAAGACCAGUGGCGAAGGCGGGUCUCUGGACAGUUCCUGACGCUGAGGCACGAAGGCCAGGGGGAGCAAACGGG